UUGGAGGGCAAGUCUGGUGCCAGCAGCCGCGGUAACUCCAGCUCCAAUAGCGUAUAUUAAAGUUGUUGCAGUUAAAAAGCUCGUAGUUGAAUUUCGGGGUUAGUAGGUUGGUCAUGCCACUGGUAUGUACUGGUCUCACUGAUUCCUCCUUCCUGAUGAGCCGUAAUGCCAUUAAUUCGGUGUUGCGAGGAAUCUGGACUGUUACUUUGAAAAAAUUAGUGUGUUUAAAGCAAGCUAACGCUUGAAUACAUUAGCAUGGAAUAAUGAAAUAGGACGUUCGAUCCUAUUUUGUUGGUUUCUAGGAUUGACGUAAUGAUUAAUAGGGAUAGUUGGGGGCAUUAGUAUUCAAUCGUCAGAGGUGAAAUUCUUGGAUUUAUUGAAGACUAACUACUGCGAAAGCAUUUGCCAAGGAUGUUUUCAUUAAUCAAGAACGAAAGUUAGGGGGUCGAAGACGAUCAGAUACCGUCGUAGUCUUAACCAUAAACUAUGCCGACUAGGGAUCGGAUGAUGUUAUUUUUAAUGACUCAUUCGGCGCCUUACGGGAAACCAAAGUGUUUGGGUUC
rnacentral:rRNA from 1 species